AGGUCUGUAGCCCAGUUGGUUAGAGCGCACCCUGAUAAGGGCGAGGUCGGCAGUCACCCGCCCAGACCUACCA
rnacentral:tRNA from 1 species